rnacentral:lncRNA from 1 species
AGCAUCUCAUCAUAUUGUCUAUACAUGCAUAAGAUAAAUAUAGGAUGAUAAGUGAUUAAAGAGCUAAGAUUGUGAUGGACACUUACUCAAUAUAUGGGUCGACCUCCGUGCAGUUUAGCAAAAUAUCUGUCUCUGUCUGUUGAAUUUCAGUAUCAGUUAAUAUCCGAUGAACCUCGUGUCCAAGUUCAUGAGCGAGAUAGACAAAUAUUGAGAUC